rnacentral:rRNA from 1 species
UACGGGGGGGGCAAGCGUUGUUCGGAAUUACUGGGCGUAAAGGGCGCGUAGGUGGCCUGUUAAGUCGGGUGUGAAAACUCUGGGCUCAACCCAGAGCCUGCAUUCGAUACUGAUGGGCUAGAGUUCUGGAGGGGAAAGCGGAAUUCCUGGUGUAGCGGUGAAAUGCGUAGAUAUCAGGAGGAACACCGGUGGCGGAAGGCGGCUUUCUGGACAGAAACUGACACUGAGGCGCGAAAGCUAGGGGAGCAAACAGG